ensembl:lncRNA
UUUUCAACAUACCAUUUCUGCUUAUCUCAGCAAGGGAGUGAACAAGUCACAGCUGGGAUCUGCAAACUUUGCAGGUAGGCAAGAAGCAGUUGCUUUUGGUUUUGUUUUGGCCAACAUAUCUGUGGCAUCUAUUUGCAUUUCCUCCACAGUGUGCGAUCGGUUUCAUCAGAGUCAGUGAUCGUAGAGAAGAGAAGGGCAGAAAACCUCAGGGCUUACCUAGCAGUGAUCCCUUGCUUAGCAGCUUAGAAACAAAGUCUAGGAACAAAGAUCUAAGAAGGCAGCAAGUGUGAAACAGGAGGUGUUGGACUCGGCAUCGUGGAAGGCUGCUUGCCUUGCUGCAGACACCGCACUGCCACCCCACCCUUGGCUGUAAGCAAGACAUUAAUAAAGGUGGGAAAUACAGGGGAAAAACAACCCAGCACAGACAAUGGAUAGUUGGGAUGAAAGGCAUGAGUCAAGGAGAACUGGCUGGAUGGAGCAAGCCCCUAAGAAACGAAAUAAUGAAGACCUCCUGACGUACUACUCACAUCAUCUUGAUGCAAAAAAGAGAUGUUUAUGUGCAAACCAGAACACCAACUAUUUCCCUCUGCCUCGUUUUGGCUUCGUGAUUAGAGACAUCCAGGUAUCUAAGGAGAUCACCAGGAAACAUGAAUCAAAUGGACGUUUUACUUGCAAAGAAGUUAUUUUCAUCGAUGAACACACUGAAUAUUGCAGACCACUGUCACCAGAGAACUGUAACCUCACCGAUGCCACAAGCCUAGUGCAAGAACAGGGGAGACAAGCAGCAAGCAGAGGUACCAUACAGUCCCAAAGCAUAGACUUUAGUGUGCGUUCUGGAGACAGACCAACAUCAAAAUCUCCAGCUAGACGGGCUGAACCAACAGAUUUGUGUCAUCUCGCCGAAGAUUUCAGCAAGAAAGUCUACUGGCUUGCAGCAGUUUGUCUCCUUGUAACUGUGGGAGUUCUGUGCUGGAUGAGGCUACGGCAUCAGCUGGGGAAUUACUACUGGCUUUCCCUCGUACUUAUGAUGUCUAUUGCUACUGUUAUCCUGAGUUCAGUUGUCAGCCUAAUUAUUUCAAAAAAUGCCUUUUGCACUUGGACAGUGACAGUAACUGGAAGUGUAAUAAUUGGAAUAAUUUCAAAUUUCUAUGAAACAGUAACUAUAAUGCAAGUUGGAGGAAUGACUGCAUUUGCAACCCUGUUACUGUUUUUAUUUGCUCUGAAGACAAAUAAACCCCUGACAAACAUGGCCAUAUCAACCACUACAAGCACCCUGGGCACUGCUGGGGCAAUCGUUUGUGUCCUUAGAAAUUCAUACGUGUUCCAGGCUAUAUACGCUCUAUUUGGAAUGCUGCUCUUUGCUACUGAUCUGACGAGGACAGUAGCUGAGCUCGAAAGUCAACGGACAACCAACAAAAAAGUCAAAAAGUCAAAGCUUGAAAGUCAACCAACAAAAAUGCAACGCUCCAUGGACUAUGCUGAGGCAGCACAAAGACUUGUCAUAUCUAUUGCUAUGAUCUUCUUCUUCACUUUGCUAUUAGUUGGUUGAACGCACAACAAAGCCGAGUAUUUUGGCAAACUUCAGUUUCAGCGCAAGUCCUGUGUUACCCAAAGGAAGGUGCGUGACAGCUCAUUCAGGCGUUCUGGCGAGGUGAUUACGGGAUGGAUUUCCAUAUAAUAAACUUCCUAUAGAUGAAAAAGUAUCUUAAUGU